UGGUUUGAGAGGUUGAAGCUGCCAGCAUGAUCUGGUGAUUAACCUAGCUAUCACUUUUUCUUUUUUCCUCCCUUUUUAUGUAUGUUUUUUCUGCCUCUUUAGUGGUAUAUAUGCAGAUUGAAAGACCAGUUUUGGAUUAAAUUUCUUGAGUUAUCUUCAGCCUGCUUGAACUUUAUAGCUUCAUAGGUAUGGUUUCAACAUCAGAUCAUCUUGCAGCUUCAAUCACUCACUCA
rnacentral:pre_miRNA from 1 species